UACGUAGGGUGCGAGCGUUAAUCGGAAUUACUGGGCGUAAAGCGUGCGCAGGCGGUUUUGUAAGACAGGGGUGAAAUCCCCGGGCUUAACCUGGGAACUGCGCUUGUGACUGCAAGACUCGAGUGCGGCAGAGGGGGGUGGAAUUCCACGUGUAGCAGUGAAAUGCGUAGAGAUGUGGAGGAACACCGAUGGCGAAGGCAGCCCCCUGGGUCGACACUGACGCUCAUGCACGAAAGCGUGGGGAGCAAACAGG
rnacentral:rRNA from 1 species